GAUUCGAGGUGCACUUGCAGUCGGCAUUCUACGCGGACAAGGAAGACGUGGGAAUCUUCGAAAGCCUGCACCCUUUCAUCAUCAUUGCAACCAAGGACUCGAAGGUUACGCUGGGCCUUUUCUUCCUGACCAUCCACGACAUAGGGGCGGAUGCGUGGACGAACGCAGGAACGGACGCACGCACG